CAUCUCAACAUUCUCCGGAUUCAGAUGUGAGCCAUUAACUGACUUCAUCCCUCCAACAGAAACCAACUGUUUGAGGUUCUAUCUCAACAUUCUCUAGAUUCAGAUGACAGCCAUAAACCGACUUCAUCCCUCCAACAGAUUGACAGCAGGACAAAUCGCUGGAAGUGGGUAUGUCUCAAGCUUCUUCCACUUGGUCCACUCCAAAGCGGGCUGCAAAGGGGAAGAAGUGGAAGCAGUUGAAUGACACAUGUUGCAUUUUGUAACUGGCAACAAAGUACCAGGUAAAAAAGAUUGUGAAGCCUGCCUCCAUAAAGAACUAGUAGCUCUACAGGACAGAGAUUGGCUUGCCAUCAAGUACUACAUCCAUAACAGAAUUAUAUUAAAAAAAGGGAAAAAAAAUGUUUUCCCACAUCUUCUGUGGUAGUUUGAGUAUGUUACCAGCAAUUAAAAAAGCAAAAUAAACAGCAA